GCGUGGGUCGGCCCGCUGUACUGGAUCCAGCGGGCUGGGGGACACCGCCGCCUUCAUCCCCGCGGGUGGCGGACCGGUCCGGGAGGCGAAUUCCGCCUCCCGGACCGUG
rfam:Streptomyces sp. G25(2015) STSP_contig000052, whole genome shotgun sequence.